AGUCAAUAGAUACCCAGGUAGUCCACGCCGUAAACGAUGAGUACUAGGUGUAGGAGGUAUCGACUCCUUCUGUGCCGCAGUUAACACAAUAAGUACUCCGCCUGGGAAGUACGGUCGCAAGAUUAAAACUCAAAGGAAUUGACGGGGGCCCGCACAAGCAGCGGAGCAUGUGGUUUAAUUCGAAGCAACGCGAAGAACCUUACCUAGACUUGACAUCUCCUGAAUAGCGCAGAGAUGCGUGAAGCCCUUCGGGGCGAGGAAGACAGGUGGUGCAUGGUUGUCGUCAGCUCGUGUCGUGAGAUGUUGGGUUAAGUCCCGCAACGGGCGCAACCCUAUUAUUAGUUGCUACCAUUAAGUUGAGCACUCUAAUGAGACUGCCCGGGUUAGCCGGGAGGAAGGCGGGGAUGACGUCAAAUCAUCAUGCCCCUUAUGUCUAGGGCUACACACGUGCUACAAUGGCGAGAACAACGAGAUGCAAUACCGCGAGGUGGAGCAAAACUUAGAAAACUCAUCUCAGUU
rnacentral:rRNA from 1 species